CUCGAGAGCAUGUGGGCUAAAACCUGGGAGAUGCUGGGUACUUGCAUCUCUUACUGAAUAGUCUUUUAUCAGCCUAUUUAGGUUAUCCCAGUUUAACCCUAUAGUUCCUUCCAGCAAUUCAAUGACUCAGAUUAACUAGACACUUGGCCAGUGUCGAGCUCCAGGCUGAAGGUUGGAGAGAGGCUAGUCCCCAGACAAAUGAUGCAUGGAAUUUGUAUCUGUGUGUUGCCAUGCCGACGCCGUGCACAGAUUGCUCAAGAUUCAGCAGGACUUGGCAGGGACCUUUUUGCUUCCCAGAGACUCAAUGACAGGCAGAUGGGUUACCGUCCGAUAGAGAAGCGGUGCUUUGCAAGAUCCCAUUGCAACACUCAUGCCACCAGGGUGAGACUGGACGGUGCAGCUGCACCCUGGACCUGGGAGGUCAGACAUACCCGUGCUAUUUCCACGAGCCUAAAAGCGAUGUCAACUGGGGAUGUUUCAGUCACAUCCAGUUCUGCACAGUAAAGAGUUGGAGAGGCAGAGAGAAUUGCACAAUGGCAAAGAUGUCCCCAAGCACCCACAAACCCUUCAUGCAACUGUACCUCCCAUAAAGCAAUAUGCUAUAUACCAGAACGUAUGGCAUCUAAUAUUGCCAUGAAAGUCCCUGGAAUAUGGAUAUGCUUUGUAGUCCAUCUUCAUUUAGUUUGCCAGUGAUGAAGAUGCACAGUGUCCUCACAUAUGCAUGCUGACAGCUCAGUGCUAAUGGCAGUGACACAUUUUUGGAUGAAAUUGUGAAAUAUAAAUGUAUUUGAAUUUUCAAAGUUUUACAUCACACUGCCUUGAGCCUUUGGGAUUCUGGGUGCAUCUCUCCAGAUUUCUUUAAGCUGAGAGGGGAGAGCUUCCCAGCCUCCCCUGUACUAUCUCAGUCCUACAGCCAGACGCAGACUGGCUCUGCCCAUGCUCCGUCCCACAGCUGCCCCAGUUACACCACUAGGAACGACCAGCAGCCAUCUACCAGGAGGGAAUUGCCAGAGUCUGGCAUGCACAAGCCAUGCCUCCUGCAUAUGGGGUGGUGGGAGCCAGUGCUGGGGAACGUACGUCUGGAAAGCAGGAGGGGUGCCUACAUGGUAUGGCACAGCGCUGUGCAGGCAGCCUGGAGAGGUCCUACGCGUGUAAACUUAAACACAUACCAGCAGUGGAUGGCUUCAGAGAGCAAUCACUUAUUCUUUUGAAAGUACCCUACCAACUUGUUUUAAUUGUGGAGAAAUAAUCAGAGGGAACGAGUUUGAGAGAGUUAGUCUAUUAAUCAUUUAUUGUGUUAUUUUUAUAUGGCAUUGUGCUGCUGCUAUGAUAUGUUAAAUAUUGCAGCUUGAUGUGUGGUCCCCAGGCCCAAGGAGUCCUAUAAAUUAGAUGGAUUUUUCUAAAGUUCUCUCAGUGAGAAAAGUUCCAGAAAAAGUGAGAAUAGCUCCAUAUUGUUCUAUCUCCUUAGAUGCAAAAUAACCCUGGUUGACUGUGUAUUAUCCUA
rnacentral:lncRNA from 1 species